GAUUUGCAUGGUUGCAGCAACAAUACACCCAGUAAAAUCAGUUUAAAGCAGGCAGGGUUUCUUUGGCUCAUGGUCCCAGGCCUUGUAUAUGAAGCGUCCUCCCCUUCCCCAUGGCUUAAGUCCUAAAACCAGUGCUCCGUGUUGAAGGAUUCCAUGAAUCCCGGUUGGAUUUGGAAGCUUUGAGUGACCCAGACACACAUUCCUCUUCCUUCUGCUCACAGGUACGGCCAGGCUUCCACCAGUGCUCAAGAGACUCAGAAAAGUCCAGCUUGGCAUCAAGCACCGAGAAAAGACGUUAAAACAAACCACGUCCCCUUCCUUCCUGGCCACAAUCUGCCUGAUGGCUGUCAAACCUUCCAGGAUACUCAAUGGCUGGCGCUUGCCUGCUGGGUUGCUGUCUUCCUCCUUCGCUUAUGCUUCCCGCCAGGCUCCUAAGAAAUCUAGUGUCCAGGUCUGAGCUCAUUCCACCACGGGGCUCCUUUGACCAGCACCUGUUGAUGGCGUUUUAUUUUAAACAGAUCUUGGUUUUUAAAGUCCCAGAUUCUGAGACUUCUUCACUCGCUGAUAGAUGCUCCUGACACCAUGCCUGCAGCUUGAGCCUGUGCCUCCCUGCUCUGAUAGACUCGUCCCUCUGGAAGUGCCAAAUUCGAGGACUAAAAGUCUGAGGGGUUGAACUGUGUCACCAGCCAGAUCCAGCCACAGAACAG
rnacentral:lncRNA from 1 species